CCUACGGGAGGCAGCAGUGAGGAAUAUUGGUCAAUGGGCGCGAGCCUGAACCAGCCAAGUCGCGUGAGGGAAGACGGCCCUACGGGUUGUAAACCUCUUUUGCCGGGGAGCAACGGGCGCCACGUGUGGCGCCCCUGAGAGUACCCGGAGAAAAAGCAUCGGCUAACUCCGUGCCAGCAGCCGCGGUAAUACGGAGGAUGCGAGCGUUAUCCGGAUUUAUUGGGUUUAAAGGGUGCGUAGGCGGAAGGUUAAGUCAGCGGUAAAAUGUCGGUGCUCAACACCGGCCUGCCGUUGAAACUGGUCGUCUGGAGUGAGCGAGAAGUAUGCGGAAUGCGUGGUGUAGCGGUGAAAUGCAUAGAUAUCACGCAGAACUCCGAUUGCGAAGGCAGCAUACCGGCGCUCAACUGACGCUGAGGCACGAAAGCGUGGGGAUCGAACAGGAUUAGAUACCCCGGUAGUC
rnacentral:rRNA from 1 species